rnacentral:rRNA from 1 species
CCUACGGGAGGCUGCAGUGGGGAAUAUUGGACAAUGGGGGGAACCCUGAUCCAGCGACGCCGCGUAAGUGAAGAAGUAUUUCGGUAUGUAAAGCUCUAUCAGCAGGGAAGAAAAUGACGGUACCUGACUAAGAAGCCCCGGCUAACUACGUGCCAGCAGCCGCGGUAAUACGUAGGGGGCAAGCGUUAUCCGGAUUUACUGGGUGGAAAGGUAGCGUAGACGGUGCAGCAAGUCUGAUGUGAAAGGUCGGGGCUCAACCCCGGGACUGCAUUUGAAACUGUUGAACUGGAGUACAGGAGAGGUAAGUGGAAUUCCUGGUGUAGCGGUGAAAUGCGUAGAUAUUAGGAGGAACACCAGUGGCGAAGGCGGCUUACUGGACUGUAACUGACGUUGAGGCGCGAAAGCGUGGGGAGCAAACAGGGUUAGAUACCCUUGUAGUC